rnacentral:rRNA from 2 species
UGGGGAAUAUUGCACAAUGGGCGCAAGCCUGAUGCAGCAACGCCGCGUGAGGGAUGACGGCCUUCGGGUUGUAAACCUCUUUUAGUAGGGAAGAAGCGAAAGUGACGGUACCUGCAGAAAAAGCACCGGCUAACUACGUG